GACGUAGGGUGCAAGCGUUGUCCGGAUUUAUUGGGCGUAAAGAGCUCGUAGGCGGCUUGUCGCGUCGUCCGUGAAAAUUUGGGGCUCAACCCCAAGCUUGCGGUCGAUACGGGCAGGCUAGAGUUCGGUAGGGGAGACUGGAAUUCCUGGUGUAGCGGUGAAAUGCGCAGAUAUCGGGAGGAACACCAGUGGCGAAGGCGGCGAUCUGGGCAGAUACUGACGCUGAGGUGCGAAAGCGUGGGGAGCAAACAGG
rnacentral:rRNA from 1 species